rnacentral:rRNA from 1 species
GCAAGUCGAGCGAUGAAACUACUUCGGUAGUGAAUUAGCGGCGAACGGCUGAGGAACACGUGAGGAAUCUGCCUUCAACACUGGGAUAACUCCGGGAAACCGGGGCUAAUACCGGAUACGAGCCUUGAUCGCAUGAUCGAGGCUGGAAAGUUUUUCGGUUGAAGAUGACCUCGCGGCCUAUCAGCUUGUUGGUGAGGUAAUGGCUCACCAAGGCGACGACGGGUAGCCGGCCUGAGAGGGCGACCGGCCACACUGGGACUGAGACACGGCCCAGACUCCUACGGGAGGCAGCAGUGGGGAAUAUUGGGCAAUGGAGGAAACUCUGACCCAGCGACGCCGCGUGCGGGAUGAAGGCCUUCGGGUUGUAAACCGCUUUCAGUAGGGAAGAAGCGAAAGUGACGGUACCUACAGAAGAAGCACCGGCUAACUAUGUGCCAGCAGCCGCGGUAAUACAUAGGGUGCAAGCGUUGUCCGGAAUUAUUGGGCGUAAAGAGCUCGUAGGUGGUUUGAUACGUCGGGUGUGAAAUUCAGGGGCUCAACCCCUGACCUGCAUUCGAUACGGUCAAGCUAGAGUUUGGUAGGGGAGACUGGAAUUCCUGGUGUAGCGGUGGAAUGCGCAGAUAUCAGGAGGAACACCGAUGGCGAAGGCAGGUCUCUGGGCCAAUACUGACACUGAGGAGCGAAAGCGUGGGGAGCGAACAGGAUUAGAUACCCUGGUAGUCCACGCCGUAAACGGUGGGCGCUAGUUGUGCGAACCUUCCACGGUUUGUGCGACGCAGCUAACGCAUUAAGCGCCCCGCCUGGGGAGUACGAUCGCAAGAUUAAAACUCAAAGGAAUUGACGGGGCCCCGCACAAGCAGCGGAGCAUGCGGCUUAA